AUGGUUCCCAUCUUAAGCCAUGCCCAUAUAAAGUUGCCAUUACAUUUUCCUUCAAUGUUUUCAAGUGCUGUCCAUGCAAAACUUUGGUUUUCCACCUAUUUAAUCAGUCAUCCAGCUGUUUUUCCUUAUAUUCUGCUUUUGUUUCUGUUGUUUUUAUAAUGUUCUCCGUUUUCACAGCCUGCAGCAAUUUUUCUGUACUUUGGUUCACAUAAUCAUUCAAACUUCAUUUUUCUUCUUCUACAGUUUGAUGGAUUUGCAAUAGUCCUCUGCCGCCUAUUUUCUUGGCAGGUACAACCUGUCGAUAUCACUUCGUGGAUGUAAAGCGUGGUACAUAUUGAAAAGUUUGUGCAUUUUCUGGUCCAGGUUUUCCAGUUUAGCCAAAGUCCAGUUGAUGAUUCCAGCUGAGUAGCAUAUCAGUGGAACUACCCAUGUUUUAAUGUCUCUAAUUAUGUUUCCAGCAUUCAGUUUUGAUUUUAAUAAUUUGCGGACCCUCCUGAGAUAUUCCUUUUGUAUUGACUUUUCUAUUCAAGAUGUUAUCUGCUUCCAAUAUAACUAGGUAUUUGUAACCAUCAUCCUUUGCUAAUGCUUUUACUAUGUUUCCAUUUCCCAGUUCUAUUCCUUCUAUUUUUUUUCAUUUUGCCUUCCUACAUGGAUAAUAUAGCACAUUUUUCAAGUGCAAAGUUCAUUUUGAUGAACUGCUGAACAGUUGAACUGUGUUGAGUAUUGAUUUAAGUUCAAUGGGGCUUUUCGCAUACAUUUUUAAGUCAUCCAUGUAUAGUAGAUGGUUUAUCUUGCCAUGUUGGCUUGAGAUUUGGUAUCCCAGUUUUGUGUUUCGCAGGAUUAUUGUCAAUGGAAUUAAUGUGAUGUUGAACAGUAGUGGUGAAAGUGAGUCCCCAUGGAAGAUUCCUUGUCUGAUGUUGACUUCACCAAUGUUCUCCCCAUUUGCUGUAGGAACUGUUUUCCAUUUUUGCAUAUUUGCUUUCAAAAAUGUACAAAUAUUUUUGAUGAUUCCAAAGUUUUCCAGACAGGUGUUAAUCCAGCUGUGGGGUAAUGAGUCAAAUGCCUUCUUGUAAUCAAUCCAUGCCAUAUUUAAAUUUGUUUUUCUUCAUUUUGCAUUUUUUAGUACCAUUUUGUCAAUGAGCAGCUGAUCUUUUGUUCCUCUUGAUUUUUUAUAAUUUCCUUUUUGUUCUACUGGAUACAAAUCCAGGAGCCUGGAUAGCUCUGCAGACUAAGCACUGUAAUUUAACACCAGCUGUCUGCAAUUAAAGUAAGUUCGAAUCUUGUCAGACUCAAGGUUGACUCAGCCUUCCAUCCUUUCUAAGGUAGGUAAAUUGAGGACCCAGUUUGUGGGGGCAAUAAACUGACUUUGUAUAAAAUAUACAAAAGUAUGAAGGCUAUUGCUUAACGCACUGUAAGCUGCCCUGAGUCUCCGGAGAAGGGCGGUAUAUAAAUCAUUUUUUUUUAAAAAAAAUUGUUUUCCAUCAGAUGAUUGAAUACUGAAUUUGCCAGUAUUCUUGUAAAAAGUUUGAAUGUUGUUGGCAGGCAAGUAAUUGGGUGAUAGUUGCUUGGCUCUGUGCCCUUUUCUGGAUCUUUCAUUAUCAAGUAUGUUCGACCAGCUGUUAACCAUUCUUCACUUGUUGCAUUUUGAAGCAUUUGAUCAAAUUGAGUGGCCAUGCGAUAAUGGAGGCUGGUCAGUGUUUUAGCCAGUAUCCAUGCAGUUCAUACAGGCCAGGUGCACUCCAGUUCUUGACCUUCUUUGCUUGUUUUGCAACCAUGUCAGUUGUUAUUGCAAUAUUUUCCAUUUUGUUUCGUGUUGUUUGUUGUUGAAUAUCUUUCAUCCAGGAGGCAGUUUUGUGUGUUCCACUGAGUUUUCCCACAGUUCUUUCCAAAAGUUCAAAGUUUUUUCUUUACAUGGGUGAACGUUAGUUUGGACUCGAUUUUCAUCAAGGGACUGGUAGAAGAGGUGUUGAUUUCUUCUGAACUGGACAUUUUCACAAUAUUGUUUAAUUCAUCCUUCAUAUCUUUCAAUUUUCUUUGCUGUUGCUAUUACACGUUGUUUUAGUUCUUCCAUAAUUUCUGUUAUUGUUUUUUCCUCCAAGUUGUAUUUUUAUGUAAGCUAUUUUCAGCUUUUUAUUCUUUAGUUUGCCUUCUUUCAAGUAGUUCAAAUUGCUGAAAUCUCUUCGUAGCUUUUUUAUUUUGUUUUCAAGUCGAAUUUUCCACUUUGGUGUUCAAGUGGGUUUCUUUUUUGACAUUUUAUAACUGAAUUGUGCAGUUAUAACGGCAGCUGUGCUGUACAUUAGUUGGUUUAUUUCACGUAGUGUGCUGGAUGAAAUGGAGGUUAAAAUGCUGUUCAUGGCAGUUAGUAGAUCUUUCACUCGUUUGCUAUGCACUUCGCGAAUGGUAGGUAGUCUUUUUCUUUCUAUGUUUUCUUUGAUAUGGUUUUCAAUCUUUUCUUUCAGCAUUUUUGCUAGAUCACUUAGCUCUACAUUUUCGAGUUGUUGCACAGGAGGAAUUUCAUCCUUUAUGUUGGUUUCUUCCACUGGUUGGUCAGUUUGUUCAGAUGUUGGAACAGUUUCUUCAGCCUGUUCAUCAUCAUUACUUGUUGUUUUCUUUUUAGCCAAUGCUUCUAGAAGCUGCAUUUCCACAUUUGUGAAAACUUCAUUACGGAUAAUGAAACGUCUUUGAUCCAUUAAUCUUUGUUCAGUUAUGUCGCUUUCUGGGUGGUUUUCCUUCCACAGUUGCAUCAUUCUUUUUUGAAAUCCCCUGACUGUUGGUUCUGCCUGGUAAUAACAUUUGAUGAUUUCUUGAUUUUCUUCAGUUGUCCAAGUUUUGCACUUUUGUCCCAGUCGCUUUACAGUUGCAUGCCCUGGUUCCCCAGCAGUAGCAACUUAGCCCUGUAGCCCAUUUUUUGACAGAUGUCCAGGAGCCACAGCAUCUGACGUGGUCCUUGUUGACCCAGGCGACAACUGAUCCGGUAUGGAAUUUUGUUGAUUUCUUCUCAUCAUUGGUGAUGGUGGGGGCCUGGGUUGGUUCACGGUGGCUAAGUCACUACCGAUCCAACAAUCGGCAUUCCCAUAACCAUAGGGACCAAUAGCCAUCCAGGCCCAGCCAUGGGUGGCUGUUGUUGUUGUUGUUGUUGUUGUUGUUAUUCCUAAACAGCUUUCCUACUCCUUCAGAGGGGGAAACCAAAAGCACUUGCUUUAUGCCUAUUAUUAGAAAUUCAAGUAAGAUAUAAAAGAUAUAAUAACAUACAAACUAUGUUUACCCAAAAAUAAGAUCUGAUCUUAUUUUCUUUUGUGCCCCAAAAUAAGUACUAGGGCUUGUUUUCAGGGAAACAUGAUUUCAGGGUGAUCAGCCCAACUGGGAGUCCCACGUCCCCAUGCACACACAAGAGCUGGCAAGUGUGCAGGGACCAAUGGUAACUGGCAGCAGCUGCAGCCCACCAAUCCCUUGAUUGGCACACUCUGGAGUUGCACAGAGCAUAUGGCACGGAGCAGAAGGCAGGCAAUCCCAACAUGCUGAGUGGAAAGCAGGUGAUCCCAAUGCAUCGCAUGGGCUGCAGGUAACCAGAGAGAUGCGAAGAUGAGCCUCCUGUAGCCGCCUAUCAUUCUGGCCCACUGCUGCUCAGCUUUCCUGUGGCCCAUGUGGCGCACCUGGAUCUCCUGUCUCACACACACACACCGCCUCUGUCUGUGCCAGUGUCAUCACAUGAAGACAAUCCUCCAAUGGCCAUCGGCCGAACCACCCACCUCCACUCAGUUUUCCCAUAGCAUAUGUGGCACGCCUGGAUCACCUGCUACCCCCUGUAUCUCUGCCUCUGCUGCUGGUGUCGCUGCAUGAAGAUGAGCCUCGCGGCUGCUUGCUGCUCCAGCCCAUCGUCACUUGGCCCGCACGGCAUGUCCGGAUCACCUCCUCCAAUCUCCCUGCGUCUGCCUCUGCCUCUGCUUGCACAUGUACUCAACUCACCUAUGCUGCGUGGGCUAUGGCUGUUACCAAACACUGUAGGCCUGUGCAUGCUUGCUGCCUCCUAUGCUGGCCAUGCCCUCACUAAGGCUUACUUUUGGGAUAGAGCUUAUUAUUAGGCACAUACAUAAAAAAUAAGUGGAGGCUUAUUUUGGGGGGUAGGUCUAUUUUCGGGGAAACAUGGUAUUUGUAAAUAAUGUAAGUAAUGAACACAGGUGAAACAUAGCAUUUAUUCAGGGAAAAGCAAGGAAAAGUAUUAGACUGGGAGUUUUAUAUGACUGAUGAAGGUGGAAGUGGGGUUUUAAACUCAGCAGAAGAAACACCUUUGAAUCCCAGAAUGUUAGUUGUGCAUUUUUGGCUGGUGCUCAUUCUUAUCCUAAUCGGUGUCUCUCCCUUCCAUUAACACUAAUAGGAUAAUAGCCUUCAUAUAUCUUCAUUAAGACUUGUCCUCUUGCAACCGCAGCAUUCUCAGGGUGAGACCAUCACCUCAGCAAUUUUGAAGCCAAACCUACCUGCUGGAUCCAGACUGAUAGAUGCUUUUCAACAUCACUCUUUGAGUUCAAACAUAUGUAGAAACCAGUGGUGGGUUGCCCCCGGUUCGCACUGGUUCUAUAGAACCAGUAGUAAAAGCGGCAGGAGGCUCCAUUCACCGACCCCGAUGUCAUCAGAACGCUUCUGCACAUGUGCAUGGCCCUGUUGCGAACAGGUAGUAAAGGAUUUAUUUGCUGUGUGGACCGCAACUUUCUUUUUUCCAUAAGAAAUCAGAAUGAAACUGAAAUCGGAACUAUCCCAGAAGACCAUUGGUUUACUUAUCAACAACUGAAAAAAAGAUUUAAACUGGAUAAAAAGUGGUAUGGAUUUGACUUCGUUAAAAAUGAAUUGGCCUGUAUGUACCCAAGUUUACAAUCUACAUGUUGGAGAUGUAAAUGUGAUGAUGCAACGUAUUUUCAUAUAUAGUGGACAUGUAAGAAAAUUAAGGCAUUUUGGAUUAAGAUAUGGUGGAUCAUACAAAAUAUUCUUAAAAGGAAGAUAAAAUUUACUCCACAGUUGUUUUUAUUGGGUAUAAUUGUAGACUGUACAGUUAUAGAGACUAAUUUGAUUUUGAAUUUAACAACCGCAGCCAGACUUUUGGUGGCUCAAUAUUGGAAGAAGGAAGAAAUACCUACUAUUGAAGAAUGGACAUUAAAAGUAGCCAAUUUGGCGGAGAUGGCUAAAAUCUCUGCAUAUUUGAGGGACCAUUCGAAUGAAAGAUAUGUACUGGAAUGGAGAAGAUGGAUUGACUAUGUACAAAACAAAUAUGGGACUAAAAAGUUGCAAAUAGCUUAUGAAUGAAAUAUUUAGAUGACUUUUCUUUCUACUUUGAUAUUUUGGUACUUAUGGGGGAGUUAAAGAGUAAGGGGGAGUUAAGAGCUUAUAGUUAGUUUGUUUAUGUUAGAUUAUGUUUGCUAAAUGCAAUACCCUGUAUUUUGCU